ensembl:lncRNA
CUUCGAUCCACACUUCACGAUUAGCCCGUUUUGAGUACGGCAUCCGGGGUCCUUGAAGUAUACUUCAUUUCGCCGGAUCUGAUUUGGAACGUAGUGCGUACUCAAAUUUUGGCUAAAGACUGCGAUGCCUAUGAGACCAUAGCACGCAGCGCGGCACCACCUCGGAGAGUCUGCGUGUGGACGCCCCUGGCAACUCCCACAUAUCAAGUCAUGACGGGGAGCUGCGGAAUCUGAGGGCCCACGGACAAGGGGAGGGCCUACUGGUGGUGGAGGACCAUGACACCCUCUCCGCCGCGUCAGAACUGGAGGCCUUGAGCUCGCUGUGUGCGGACCACAGCGUGGCCAAGAGCCUGGAAUGUAACGAGCGGCUCGUCCACCUUGAGGAGCUGACUGGUCCUCGGGGCAUCCACAAGGGCCGUCCCUGUGUCUUCUGUGGCAGGGUUUUUCCCAACAAUGCCCAAAUGAUCGUCCACAUGUGUACCCACACCGACGAGAAGCCGUACGGGUGCGAGCGAUGCAUGAAGCGCUUCGGACGUAGCACCAACCUGAAGCGCCACAUGAGGACUCACACCGGGGGAGAAGCCGUACGGGUGCGACCAAUGCGUGAAACGCUUCAGUCUGAGCACACACCUGAAGAGCCACAUGAGGACUCACACCGUUGAGAAGCCCUACAGGUGUGACCAAUGCACAUAGUGCUUCGGUGAAAGCUGAAAGCUGAAGAUCCACAUGAUGACUCAUCGUGGGAGAAGCCCUAAAAGUCUGACCAAUGCGUGUAGUGCUUAAGUCGGAGCUGCGACCUGAAGACCCACAUGAGGGCUCACACCAGCGUGAAGCCCUACAGGUGGGAUCAAUGCAAGAAGAGCUUUGGACAGAGCACCAACAUGUAGACCCACAUGAGGACUCCCACCAGGGAGAAACUCUUUGUGUGUCUGCAGUGCAACGCCAGCUACAGCGACCCAAGUAAUUUGCGUGUGCACAUGCUCAAGCACAAGGGCCAUGGAGUGCCUUGACAUGGGGCAACGGGACGCUUUGAUUGACACCUCUAUCCUGUAUUCGUUGAAAUUACUGCUUUAAGUUUUGGUGAUUAAAGACGCUUUCGAACUUUUGAUUCACUUUUCAUUAUUGUUAAUAUUGUUGU